rnacentral:lncRNA from 10 species
CUCUCAUUGCGCAUUUAAUUUUCUCCAAAUAUAAAUCCUCCAACACAUAUCCUGGCACAUGGAUCUUUGUGCGUAUAUCCCAGUAUUUCGUAGGUUAUUGCCUGUAAGGAAAAUUGUUUGAGUCCAAGGUUAUGCUCACUCAAAGGUGUUGCUACAGAAUCCUGGCACCCCUCACCAGUGUAGGAGAGGGCUUGUCUCUCCACCCUCUAGCCCACAGAGCUGUCAUCUUUCUUAACCUUGGCCAAUCUAAAAAUUAUAAUAAAAUGGCCAGGGAAAAUUAUAGUAAAAUGACAUCUUGUUUUCAUGCACUUAUCUUUUAUUACCAGUGAGGCUAAAUUUAUUCCAAUAUCAGACAGUUUCAGUCCAUCUUAGGCAUAUUACAUCAAUUACUAUGGUGUCCCUAAGAGCACAAAAUACCCCAGGGGGGGUUCAAACCAGCAUAGAUUUCAGAGGCAUCUGCUCAACGGGUCUCAGCUAAGUGGUUAACGGUCCCCACAGGGUGCUGCCCAGCCACCAGGGCCUAAAAUGUGCUCAGACUCCAGACAUGGAACAAGACUGUCUGGUUAAUAGCACAUGUGGCCCAGCCACCCCAGUGUGGCAUUUACAGCUCUCUGGUUUCUGUCAAUGCUGCCCCUGCUAAACUACAUGGCUGUCUAGUCUGCACUAAGUGCAAAGCUGGCUCCUGUGCGGGGCACCUCACCCACGCCCACAGGAAAGGCUGCCUUGAUUUGAACCUCUCCUUGGGGCCUGCAGGGCGGGGUGCCUGUGUGUAAACACACGUGUGGCUUUUUGUUCUCCUUCCUGCCGAUUAUUUUAAAGCUAGGAGUUAAGUAAGAUUCAGCUUGGUGAUCAAUUCACUCAUGAUGCUGC